ensembl:lncRNA
GCCAGUCCUCUUCUGGCUGUGCCGGGUGGAGAUUAUAACAGAACAUGGCCAAGAUGUUCAAAUGUUCAUAAAUGACCAGCAUGGUCAAAUAAUAAUAAGGCAGAACAGUUGAAACUGGAGCAGCAGCACGGCCAGGUGGACUGGGGACAGCAAGGAGUCAUCAUGUCAGGUAGUCCUGGGGCAUGGUCCUAGGGCUUAGGUCCUCCGAGAGAGAGAAAGAGAGAAUUAGAGAACGCACACUUAGAUUCACACAGGACACCGAAUAGGACAGGAGAGGUACUCUAUUUUGAGCAUUAUCUACAACCUGUGUUAAGGUGUCCUCUUUAGCCUUGUCUACAGCCUGUGUUAAGGUGUCCUCUUUAGCCUUGUCUACAACCUGUGUUAAGGUGUCCUCUAUAGCCUUGUCUACAACCUGUGUUAAGGUGUCCUCUUUAGCCUUGUCUACAACCUGUGUUAAGGUGUCCUCUUUAGCCUUGUCUACAACCUGUGUUAAGGUGUCCUCUUCAGCCUGUGUUAAGGUGUCCUCUUUAGCCUUGUCUACAACCUGUGUUAAGGUGUCCUCUUCAGCCUUGUCUACAACCUGUGUUAAGGUGUCCUCUUUAGCCUUGUCUACAACCUGUGUUAAGGUGUCCUCUUUAG